rnacentral:tRNA from 1 species
CAGGGAGACAACAAAAUGUUUAAUAUUAUUAUUUUGUCACCUUAGGUCGAUCGGUAUCUCACAUUCUUAAUUUAUUAAGAAUUUCAAUUCCUAAGUUUUUCUAGGUCACACCCAUUACUUUUCCUGGGCCAUUAGCUCAGGUGGUUAGAGCGCACCCCUGAUAAGGGUGAGGUCCCUGGUUCAAGUCCAGGAUGGCCCAUAUCUCUAUGUUGGGGGUAUAGCUCAGUUGGUAGAGCGCCUGCUUUGCAAGCAGGAUGUCAGCGGUUCGAGUCCGCUUACCUCCACUGAUUACCACCUCUUCAUAAUCUAUAGAAGGGAAAUGUUUUGAGUUGUGAUCAAAUUCUGAACGAAUCUAGCUUCCUAAUGUAACCAUUAAGAUGCUGGACUCAUUGAAUUAAUUUCAUUGUUUUCAGAGAACCUUGACAACUGCAUAGAUUAUUUUUUUAAAGACAAUAAGCAUCUUUAAUGAUGCAGAUUUAUUAUUUGUGCUAAUGCAUUAAUAACAAUUCUAUUAAGCUGAUGCUUCAAUUUUUGAAGUUAUU